rnacentral:rRNA from 1 species
UUGACCUCGGAUCAGGUAGGGAUACCCGCUGAACUUAAGCAUAUCAAUAAGCGGAGGAAAAGAAACCAACAGGGAUUGCCUCAGUAACGGCGAGUGAAGCGGCAACAGCUCAAAUUUGAAAUCUGGCCCCGUCGGGGUCCGAGUUGUAAUUUGUAGAGAGUGUUUCGGGUGAGACCACGGUCUAAGUCUAUUGGAACAUGGCGUCAUAGAGGGUGAGAAUCCCGUAUGUGACCGUGGCUCGAGCCCAUGUGAAGCCUCUUCGACGAGUCGAGUUGUUUGGGAAUGCAGCUCAAAAUGGGUGGUAAAUUUCAUCUAAAGCUAAAUACUGGCUGGAGACCGAUAGCGCACAAGUAGAGUGAUCGAAAGAUGAAAAGCACUUUGGAAAGAGAGUCAAAAAGUACGUGAAAUUGUUGAAAGGGAAGCGCUUGCAACCAGACCUGUCCGUAGGUGAUCAGCCGCUGUUCUCAGCGGUGCACUCGCUCUGCGAUCAGGCCAGCAUCGGUUUCGGCGGUCGGAUAAAGGCCUUGGGAAUGUAGCUUCUUUCGGGGAGUCUUAUAGCCCUCGGUGCAAUGCGGCCA